AUUUUUUGCUAGUGGUCAUACACACGCAGUGUCAUGUUUUUCGAGUCACGCAUGAUGUGCAUGAAUAAGUAACAAAAGUAUAUAUUUCAUGUUACGUACACAGAUUUUUUAUCCUUUAUUCAUACGCGUGAUGUAUGAAUCGGAAAGUACCCAUAAGGAGAGAAGAAUGGGCCGUUUUUCUGAAUCUCAAUUCCUAAUCUAAUCUAACCUAACCUAAUCUAAUGACAAAUAGUCAUGCAAGGGCAUGAAAAACGAUCUUUUUCCAAUUAUGCGAAUCAAUUCUUUCUGCGAGGAACGACUUUCCUAAGAGUAGUGUGAUUACAAUUAAAGUGAUGAGAAUGAUGAUGAGGAAACUGGCAAUAAGAUAUUGGACUUCUUCGAGUUAUUAUUUGGCAUAUCUGUCAUUUGAGCCAAAAACAGGUCAUUUUAUUUUUGCAAAAAUCAUUCUUGUUAUCGUAUAAUAUAUACAAGAUGUCCGCCAAUCGCAUCACCCGUCGUGUGCAGCGUUUGCAUGUAAUCACGUGACUUUGAUUCGACGUUAACCGCGCUGGGAUUGUCCCGUUUGCGCACAUUACGGAUCGGACACGACAAAAUUUCCCAAUCGGACACAAGCUCGAUUGGAUACAGAUCCAAUCAGACACAGUUCCGAUUGGAUACAUACUGUUGCUAUCGGACACACCCAUAUAGCAAAAGUAAAGGGAUGUUCAUCGGAUAUAUCUGGAGGGAUUUUCAGAUAUCCAAGGUUUAUUCGUGUAAAACCUAAGGAUUUACUUAGGAUAUAAUGAGGAUGCCUCUGUCCGCUUAUAAGAUAUCUAUGCGACAUUCUAAAAUGGAUAUACUUAGGUCGUCCAACUACAACAAAAUUCUAUCCCAAUAAUAUCCUGGAUAUUACUGGAUAAUUACUGGAUAUUUGUAAAUGUGUUUUGUGCUAUCCUAAGUUGAUCGAUAUGAAAUAAUUAAAUAUACAGGAUAAUUCAUUUUAAAUGCCAAUAUUUAAAAUAUUUUGAAAAAUUGCAUAAUAUUGAAAAAUAACAUUUUUGAGCAAAGUUGUUUUAUUUUAAGAGAAUAAUAAAUCAGUUUGCAUUACCAAGA